UUGACCUCGAAUCAGGUAGGGAUACCCGCUGAACUUAA
rnacentral:rRNA from 5 species